GCGGCGCCGGACUCGCGCGCCCGCCGCCGUUGCCGCCGCUCCGGUUGUCACGGCGACCGCGGAACGCCGGGGGGCGGAGGCGGGGACACCCUGUGAGCGGCGGCGGCCCCGCCCCCGCCGCCCCUCCGCGCGCCGGACGCGCGCUCCCGACCGCCCAGCGCGCACGCGCGGACUGACGGCGCGGGUGGGGCCGUCCCCGCCGCUGCCCCGCGACCCCGGCCCUGCUCCGGGCCAGCACCGGGAUUCGGCGGGGGCGGGAGUGUGGGCCGCCUUCCGGGAGCGGCCGCCCCUCCCUCUGGGAGUGGCUGGGAAGAGAAAGAGGCCCUCUCCCGGCGGGGGCCGCUGGUCCAAGUUUGGGACCCGAUUAAGGUUACGCGUGCAGCCCGGCGAAGCCCGCGUGGCCCCGGCGGCGCGGCGCGGGGGCGUGUGCACCGGGAGGAGGCGCUGGAGAACGACCACGGGGGGGCGCUGUGCGCGCGCUCUGGAGCCUCGGUGGCUCCGCCGCUGGAAGGCUGGAAGGCGAGCGGAUCAGAGUGAAGCAUCGUCUCACCUUUACUCCACUACGUGUAACCUCGCAAUUUAGAACGUUGCCGUGUGCAGCUCCCUCGUUCACGGAUGCGACGGACGGUGCAACUUGACCUGAAAUAGCAGCAGAGUGUCUCGGGGUAGCUGAGGACAAGAGUGUUUCCUGUUCAACUUUGUGUUGUCCCACAGAGCCUGACCAGAGCCUCAAAGUUUGUUGAAUUGAAUUGAAAGAGGAACAUCUAUGAUUAAGACACAUCCAGUGGCUAACAUGAAGAGAAUAGCUGGAGAUGAUCCAUUGCCAUCUCAAGAUGACCUGAAGUCCACAAUGCUCAGCAAAGCUGGAGUGAGUGAACUCCUUACUUCUACCUGCCAAGAAGCUCCAUGUUGCUACAGUGUCCAUUUUGUCCCAAGCAACAGGUUAAGGAGGAGUAACAGGGUCUGUAUGGUAAAAGGAAAAAACACUGAGGUAACAAAGAAUGCAGCAUCGACACGCAGAAGGGCCUUUCACACAUCAGAGGCAGACCUGUGUCUGUGGCCCUGGUCUCUGUUUGAGUCCCUCUUUUGUAGCCUCUCCAACACUUAGUUGGGGCCACCAAAGCUGCUUUAACCCGCAGUACACAGUAGUUCACAGCAUCACUUGGAAAAGAGUUUGGAACUUCAACCUGGAAGGCCAUGGAUUCACCUCGGACUCCUGCUCCUUCUCUCAGCCCAGACCCAGCUUUGCUACAGCUCAGAAAACCUGAGCAGGACUCUCCCCUUCCCCACUCUCCCUGGACUGGCCAGAAACAGAAAGAGCCUGAAAGUGAUAAAUGUUGGGAAGGAGAAAUGAAUCAAGGCACAGGUGUGAGGAGCCAGUGAAGAGAGUCACAAAAUAUUUUCGAGAAAAGCUCCUUGUGGCAAAUUCCGUUUUUCCUGGAGCUACCCAAGCCCAAGACACACUUCUGGAGCCAGCCAAGGAAGAGGCCCAUGGAUUUUUAAGCUAAAAAGCCCAUCCACAAUUACAGGCUUUCACAAGAAAGUAUGUUCAGGGCAACUGAGUAUGGCAUAUCCCGGGAAUUAACUUGACUUCUCUUCAAUUUAUAUAUUGAAAAGUAAGUCCUUUGCAGACUUGGGAACUCUAUUGUUAGCAACAAAUGACUUGCACCACCACCGACAGCCCAUUGCAACCCCCCAGCGGGGUGUAACACCACCACUGUGGAAAACAGACCUGGAAAACAGACCUAAGCAGAGACGGAUUUAUUGUGACUGAGUCGGAAAAGGUAGCUGGAAGGUGCAUAAAACUAGAUGUCAGCAGUUUGUGUCAGGUCUCUUAGGUUAGUGCCUUUCUGGAAAAGUGGGCAAGAAAAGUAGCCAGCGGAGGAGCUAACACAUCACAGUGUGGCAGUCGAGCCAGCAGAGAUAAGCUUCGGGGCGUCCUGCUGCCUGCCAAGAGUACAGGACAGAAGUCCCAGAAGCCACAGCAUUUAUUGCAUAAGAUUAAAUCACUCCCAGCUGAGAAUUCUCCCCUUUGAAACAGCAAAUGACAGGCCCUGGGGAGGAAUGAGCCACUUCUUCCAGGACAUUUGCAAGCUACCACUUGGCCAUUUUGGUCCCUUGGCACUCCUGGUAAAGUAGGCGACUUUGGUAAGUCACUUAAUGUUACUGUGAGAAGAUGCAAUAUAUGGUUCCCUAAGUCCCUUCUAACUCAAACCCCCUGUGGUGCUUUGAUUAAAAGGAGCCUGGUGAGUCGUCUUGAUUCACCGUGAGAAGGACCAGCUGAGACUGCUGGAUUUUCACAGCAUGCUUUCCUCCUGCCCUCGAUCUCCCAACAAUCCACCCCAAAGAGUUUUCUUUUUUCAUUUCAAAUGAAUAGAUUCUGUAGAACCCUAAUGUAUCUUUGGUUCUCAGAUUCUAAAACAUGCAUUGCUUACAUUCAGUGAAUUUAGCAUUAUUUAGGUUAUAAGCCUAAGACAUCUCUAUACAUCCAAACGUUGUGUCCUCAGACUUCCCUUGAUGUAAUUAUGUGCUGUUCCAGCCAUUCGUUACAAG
ensembl:lncRNA